rnacentral:rRNA from 1 species
GACAGAGGGGGCAAGCGUUGCUCGGAAUCACUGGGCGUAAAGGGCGCGUAGGCGGGAUGGCAAGUCGGUCGUGAAAUCCUUCGGCUCAACCGAAGAACGUCGGCCGAUACUGCCGUUCUUGAGGGAUGCAGAGGAGAUUGGAAGUUCCCGGUGUAGCGGUGAAAUGUGUAGAGAUCGGGAGGAACACCGGUGGCGAAGGCGGGUCUCUGGGCAUUUCCUGACGCUGAGGCGGCGAAAGCGUGGGGAGCAAACGGG